rnacentral:lncRNA from 8 species
CACAUGACACAACUGAUUAUGUUUGUGUGAAUCACUCGCCCCUGCGCCCUCACACACACACACACACACACACACACACACAUACACACGCACAAGUCAGCUGGUGCAUAGAUCAGUUGGUGAACCUGACUAACAUGAUGCAGAUGCAUGCUUUGUUAUAUGCAUCAGGGAAUAUUGAGUCUGAGCUGUCGUACAAUAAUGUUGGAAUUUCAUCUGAUACUGGUAACAACUGGAGACAGUGAUUAUGGCUAUGAACGGCGUAGAGAAGGGAACUGUCUACCAGCGUUCUGGUUCAACCCAGCUGUUGAAUCAAGGAGCUGCAGCCAAGGACAGAUUUACCUCAUCAGCACAGGGUUCUGUAGAACAUGUUCAGCUGCUGGCUCCGUUUGUGGCCAUCAAGAACAAGGAAGUAAACCUAAUAGCAGUGGUCUGGCCCAUCCACUCCAGGACUCUUACCUACUUCUGGUGACUGGGGAACUGCACUGAGGUAAACUGUACUUAAAACACUUGGUGUACAGAGAAGAUGGCCUAGAACUGAACCCUGUGCAGACACAUAUCCUCUUUUGAUGUUGUGUAUAGUAUACAGUAUACUGUAUGUGGGGUACCAACUAUACAACUUUAGUAGAGGUGAACUGACACCAUUCAAAAGGGGUCUUACACUAUAAUGC